rnacentral:rRNA from 1 species
ACUCCUACGGGAGGCAGCAGUAGGGAAUCUUCCACAAUGGACGAAAGUCUGAUGGAGCAACGCCGCGUGAGUGAAGAAGGGUUUCGGCUCGUAAAACUCUGUUGUUAAAGAAGAACAUAUCUGAGAGUAACUGUUCAGGUAUUGACGGUAUUUAACCAGAAAGCCACGGCUAACUACGUGCCAGCAGCCGCGGUAAUACGUAGGUGGCAAGCGUUGUCCGGAUUUAUUGGGCGUAAAGCGAGCGCAGGCGGUUUUUAAGUCUGAUGUGAAAGCCUUCGGCUCAACCGAAGAAGUGCAUCGGAAACUGGGAAACUUGAGUGCAGAAGAGGACAGUGGAACUCCAUGUGUAGCGGUGAAAUGCGUAGAUAUAUGGAAGAACACCAGUGGCGAAGGCGGCUGUCUGGUCUGUAACUGACGCUGAGGCUCGAAAGUAUGGGUAGCAAACAGGAUUAGAUACCCUGGUAGGAAAGCG